rnacentral:rRNA from 1 species
GAUGAACGCUGGCGGCGUGCUUAACACAUGCAAGUCGAACGGAAAGGCCCAAGCUUGCUUGGGUACUCGAGUGGCGAACGGGUGAGUAACACGUGGGUGAUCUGCCCUGCACUUCGGGAUAAGCCUGGGAAACUGGGUCUAAUACCGGAUAGGACCACAUUUUGGAUGGUGUGGUGGAAAGUUUUUCGGUGUGGGAUGAGCUCGCGGCCUAUCAGCUUGUUGGUGGGGUAAUGGCCUACCAAGGCGUCGACGGGUAGCCGGCCUGAGGGGGUGUACGGCCACAUUAGGACUGAGAUACGGCCCAGACUCCUGCGGGAGGCAGCAGGGGGGAAUAUUGCACAAUGGGCGCAAGCCUGAUGCAGCGACGCCGCGUGGGGGAUGACGGCCUUCGGGUUGUAAACUCCUUUCGCUAGGGACGAAGCGUUUUUGUGACGGUACCUGGAGAAGAAGCACCGGCUAACUACGUG